rnacentral:rRNA from 1 species
GUAGGGGGCAAGCGUUGUYCGGGAUUUUAUUGGGCGUAAAGAAGCGUGUAGGCGGUCARGGUAGGUCCGUUGUGAAAACUCGAGGCUCAACCUCGAGACGCCGAUGGAAACCAUCUGACUAGAGUCCGGAAGAGGAGAGUGGAAUUCCUGGUGUAGCGGUGAAAUGCGCAGAUAUCAGGAAGAACGCCCGUGGCUAAGGCGGCUCUCUAGUACGGUACUGACGCUGAGACGCGAAAGCGUGGGGAGCGAACAGGAUUAGAUACCCUGGUAGUCCACGCCGUAAACGAUGGGUGCUAGGUGUAGGGGGUGUCGACUCCCUCUGUGCCGAAGCUAACGCAUUAAGCACCCCGCCUGGGGAGUACGGCCGCAAGGCUA